GUAAAAUGUAUACAUACAUACAAAUGUAUGACAUUGGUAUUUUUCCGUAUUCACUUACUAUUUUAUCUUAUUUUUUUUUAAAUAGUGUUAUUAGUAUACGUUAAAACAAUGUUAGAAGGGUAUGUAAAUUUUUUGAAUAAAGAGGGUAAUCAUAAGAGUAGCAACUGUAUUAGUAACAACUGUAGUGGUAACAGUAACACUGGUAAAAACAAAGAUGAUAAGAGUGAUAAGAAUGGUGGAAGCAAGAACAAUGUAACAAACUUAAACACAUAUAAAAAAAUAUGUGAUUUUAUUUUAAUAGAUAAGAAUAUAAAUAAAAAACAAAGCGAUACCUAUCAUGCAAAAUUAAUAAAAUUUUCAAAAAAUGAAAAAGAACAGGGUACUCGUAACAUUUGUGAUGCUAUAUUUUUUGGGAAUAACAACAACAACAACAAUAAUAACAAUAACAAUAACAACCCUAAUGCAUACAUGCAAACAGGUACACAUACAGACACACGUACGAAUGUGUUUAAUGACAUACAUAUUAUUAAAAAGUAUUAUACUUAUGAACCCUCGGACGAAAGCAACUAUUUCGAUAAUAAAGAAAAAAUAAAAAAAUAUGUAUUAGAAAAGAAUUAUAAAAGUAACAUAAAAUUAAAAGACAUGUUAUACGUAUAUAAUGNNNNNNNNNNNNNNNNNNNNNNNNNNNNNNNNNNNNNNNNNNNNNNNNNNNNNNNNNNNNNNNNNNNNNNNNNNNNNNNNNNNNNNNNNNNNNNNNNNNNAUGAAAAUAAUAUCCAUGAAAAUAAUAUCCAUGAAAAUAAUAUCCAUGAAAAUAAUAUCCAUGAAAAUAAUAUCCAUGAAAAUAAUAUCCAUGAAAAUAAUAUCCAUGAAAAUAAUAUCCAUGAAAAAAAUAUCCAUGAAAAAAAUAUCCAUGAAAAAAAUAUCCAUGAAAAAAAUAUCCAUGAAAAAAAUAUCCAUGGAAAUAAUAUCCAUGAAAAUUAUGGAAGUAACAAUAAUAAUGAUAAUGUUAUAGUAAAUAUAAAAAAGGAACUACGGAAAACAUCUUUAUGUAAGUAUUGGUUGAAAGGUGUGUGCGCAAAUAUAGAAUGUAAUUUUGCACAUGGUAAUGACGAGUUAAAAUAUACAGUUGGAGUUUAUAAAACAACUAUAUGUAAACAUUGGAAACAAAAUGGAACAUGUUCAAGUGGGAUCAAUUGUAGACAUGCACAUGGUGAAAAUGAAUUACGACCUAAUUUUUUCCCUCUACAUUUAUUAAAAAAAAAAAACAAGUUACAAAAUAAAACUAAUAAUAUAAUUAAAAAACCUAUGUAUCCUUUUAAUAAUAGUAUUGAUAAUUGCCACACUAAUAAUUAUAUGUACAAUAAUAAUAAACAAGGUAAUAUGAAUACAGGUAGUGGUGGUAAUGGUAGUGGUGGUAAUGGUAGUGGUGGUAACCCUACUAAUAUUAGUCAUAAUAUGAAUACAAUAAAUGAUAAAACAAAAUUUCGAAACUAUUUUCAUGGUUUAAAAAAUGAAGUUAUUCGUUUAUGGAAUGAUAAUAAACAAAAAGAAGAUACAAAUAGUGUAAUAAAUAAUUUUAAUUUUAAUACGUCAUGUGAUACAAAAGAAGUUAGUUGCGUUAAUUGCAAUAAUAGUACUAACUACAAUGGUAAUAUUAAUAAUAAGAUGUAUACUAACGUUUAUAGAUAUAUAAAUGAAAAUAGUUGUAGUAAUAAUAGUAAUAAUAAAAAAGAAAAUACUACAUACUUAGACUCUAACAGAAAUGAAGAACUUGUAAUUUUUAAUAAAUUUUAUAAAAAAAUAAAAGAAAAUAAUAAUAGUAAUAAUAACAAUAAUAACAACAAUGAAAGUACCAGUAGCAGUACCAUUACUAGUCGUAGUAGUUUUAGAGGAUGUACUGACUAUACCACAUGUAAAAAAUUUAACAAUUACAUUGAACAUGAUGGAAAUUCUAAUAAUACACUAUACUCUCAACCAUUUGUUAACAGUAAUAUUAAAAAUAUAUUGGAAUGUUUAAGGCAAAAACAAUAUAGUUUUAAUGAUAAAAAAGAAGUAAAUUAUAACCAGUUUAACAUAUUUCAAAAUGAUGAUAAUAAUAAAAACGACUGGAUUAUAGACAAUUUAAAUUUGAAUUAUAACUACAACUGUAAUGAUAAUAGCCAUAGUGGCAACAUGGGUAAUGAUAAUGUGAAUAAUGAUAAUGUGAAUAAUGAAAAUAUAAACAGUGGUAAUAUAAACAGUGGUAAUAUAAACAGUGGUAAUAUAAACAGUGGUAAUAUAAACAGUGGCAAUAUAAACAGUGGUAAUAUAAACAGUGGCAGUAUAAACAGUGGCAAUGUGAACAAUGACAAUGUGAACAGUGGCAAUGUGAACAAUGACAAUGUGAACAGUGACAAUGUGAACAAUGGUAAUAUGUACUGGAAACACAUUUUAAUGCAAAAAAACAAAAAUUAUAAUGAAAAAAAUAAUACUAUAUAUAUAAUAAAUGAAAAUUCAUUGUUAUGUAAAAAUUGUAGCAAUGGUUAUAUUUGUAACAACUGUAGUGUCAAAAAGAAGCAAAUAGUGAAACCAUAUGAAGAAUUAGGAAAAAAUAACAAUAUAAAAAAUAAACAAUUAGGGGUAUCUACAAGAGGAUAUAAAAACAAAAACAUUUUCAGUCAUGAUUAUAACAAUAUAAGAACAGACAUGAUUUGCACAACUAAUAACCCUAGUGCUAUAACAACAAAUAUGAGCAACGUAAGUAGUAUGUCAAGUAACACUAAUGAUAAUGUAAUGUUAUGUAUAAAUGAGUACGGUUGUAUGUAUAGUAAAGAUAUGCACAAUAAUAACAAAAAUGGGUAUAAUGAUAACAGAAACGGAUACAAUGAUAACAGAAACGUGUGUAAUGAUAAAAAAAAUAUAUGUAUUGAUAAAAAAAACAUAUGUAGUAAUAAAAAAAAUAUGAACAGUCAGCAUUUUGUUCAUACAAAUGAUAAGAAAAAUGCUAAUUCUUACUCAAAUUUUAAUACAUCCUCUAUGUUUUAUGACAAUUAUGACAACCUUAGUAAUAAAAAUGAGCUUCCAAAUAUUAUUUUAAAAAAUGAGAAACAUGAAACUAACAACAGUGAUAAUUGUGUUAAUUCUAAUGACAUGAUACAUAAUAAAAUACAAAUUAUGCAACAAAUUAAGCAGUUUUUAAAUAAUAAUAAAAAUAUAAAUUAUGUAUCAAAUUAUGUAAUGGACCAGUAUAAUUAUGAUUAUUGUAGUAGCAGUAACAGUUAUGCUUCUACUACUGGUCGUAAUAACAGUAACGACUAUGCUACUACAACUUGUUAUAAUAAAACUAAUUGUAACGAUAAAUUAUUUUAUUGGAAUAAAAACAACAAAAUAAAUAUGGCCAGUAGUACCAUUAGUGGUCUUACCAGUGACGAAGAUAACUAUUAUAAUGAUAAUAAUGAUAAUACUGAUAAUAAUGAUAAUAAUGAUAAUAAUGAUAAUAAUUAUGAUUAUAAGAACAUAAGUUAGUUGUAUAUGUCAAGAUAUACUUCUUAUCGCUAUCGCUACACAUUUAACGCGUUUGAUAUUAUUACAUACCACAUCAGAAUAAGAUAAAAAGAGAAAAAAAAAUAACUCAAAACAUGAUCACUUAACAUUUAUAUUAUAACAAAAUUUUUUUUUUUUUUUUUUUUUUUUCUUUUUUAUACAAAUUUAACAUUUGUAUGUUUUUUUUAAAAAAAAAAAAAAAAAACAUUCAUUUAUCUGAUCUGACCAUCUGCUUAUUAUAAUCAUAAUCAAUAAAAAAUUAUUAACUUUUUUUAUUAUUUAUUAA
ensembl:lncRNA